UCUUGUUUCUUCCCCUUUCCAAAAUAGUAGAGAAACAAAAGGCAAGCAAAUCAAUAUAAUAAAGAGAUGGAUGAAAAAGAACCUCCCAUCUAGAGCUCCAGAAGAGAAUUUUGGAGACUGUGGUAUGAGAGGAUCCAGAUCAGCUGUGUGAUUUAAGAUUUAAGGAAACUUAUGAGUAUUCUAGGAGUCUUUGCUCCACAACCCUGCAUUCUCAAGACCGCUGUGUCUUAAGAAGCUGAUCUGUAUUGAUAAUACCAGCAGUGUCCUCUGGGGUUUAACUGAUAGAAGGCACCAAAAGGAGAUGAACGUUCAAAGGCUGGAUUGUUGAUGUAGUACUCACCAGUCAACUUCAGUCAGGUGGAGAAUGACCAUAUCCUAGAGCAGAGAUUGGCAAACUUUUUCUGUGAAGAGGUCAUAUGGUCUGCAUGGAAACUAAUUAUCUCUGCCAUUGUAGCAUUAAAGCCACCACAGACAAUACUUAAAUGAAUGUGUUCAGCUGUGUGCCAAUAAAACUUUAUUUAC